rnacentral:rRNA from 1 species
AUGGAGGUUGGCCGAGUGCAAAUUGUUGAAGGAAUGAAUGGCCAACAUGAAGUCGGACUUGAUGGUGGGCCAACAUUUCUUGAAGAAAGCUCCAGUGAAACCGUCCGGGCCGGGGGCUUUGUCAUUGGGCAUCUCGUUGAUGGCGGCUCUCACCUCCUCUUCGGUGAUGAGGCUGUCCAGGUCGGAGAGGUCGUGGUCACCAAAGUCAAGCGCCUCCCAGUUGAAAUCCACCGGGUGGUUAGCCCCACGCCCCAUGACACCGGUGAAGUGCUCAUGCAUCAAGACCUCUUUCUGCUCAUGCCCGGUGACCCAACCACUGUUGUGCUUGAUUCUAUGGAUGUGGUUCUUUCUCCGGCGCGCAUUCACCCUCCGAUGGAAAAUCUUCGUGUUGGCGUCGCCGUCCUUGAGAUUGGAGAUCCUCGAGCACUGCUUUCUCCUUGCCCUUUCAAGGACCGCCAGUCUUACCACUCUCCUUUUAAGCUUAGCCCUCUCCUCUGGUGA